rnacentral:rRNA from 1 species
UAGGGAAUCUUCCACAAUGGACGAAAGUCUGAUGGAGCAACGCCGCGUGAGUGAAGAAGGGCUUCGGCUCGUAAAACUCUGUUGUUAAAGAAGAACAUAUCUGAGAGUAACUGUUCAGGUAUUGACGGUAUUUAACCAGAAAGCCACGGCUAACUACGUGCCAG